UUAAGUGACUAAGCGUACACGGUGGAUGCCUUGGCAGUCAGAGGCGAUGAAAGACGUAGUAACUUGCGAUAAGCCCAGAUUAGGUAGUAACAACCAUUUGAGUCUGGGAUUUCUGAAUGGGGAAACCCACUUACAUAAGUAAGUAUCAUUAAUUGAAUACAUAGGUUAAUGAGGCGAACCGGGGGAACUGAAACAUCUAAGUACCCCGAGGAAAAGAAAUCAACCGAGAUUCCGAAAGUAGCGGCGAGCGAAAUUGGACUAGCCCUUAAGCUUUACACGCGUUAGACGAACGGUCUGGAAAGUCCGACGAUACAGGGUGAUAGUCCCGUAGUUGACGACGUGUGUUCAGUGAAAUCGAGUAGGGCGGGACACGUGAUAUCCUGUCUGAAUAUGGGGGGACCAUCCUCCAAGGCUAAAUACUACUGACUGACCGAUAGUGAACCAGUACCGUGAGGGAAAGGCGAAAAGAACCCCUGUGAGGGGAGUGAAAUAGAACCUGAAACCGUGUACGUACAAGCAGUAGGAGCAGGCUUUGUCCUGUGACUGCGUACCUUUUGUAUAAUGGGUCAGCGACUUAUAUUCAGUGGCAAGGUUAACCAUCUAGGGGAGCCGUAGGGAAACCGAGUCUUAACUGGGCGUUCAGUCUCUGGAUAUAGACCCGAAACCAGGUGAUCUAGCCAUGGGCAGGUUGAAGGUUGAGUAACAUCAACUGGAGGACCGAACCGACUAAUGUUGAAAAAUUAGCGGAUGACUUGUGGCUAGGGGUGAAAGGCCAAUCAAACCUGGAGAUAGCUGGUUCUCCCCGAAAGCUAUUUAGGUAGCGCCUCGGACGAAUACUACUGGGGGUAGAGCACUGUUAAGGCUAGGGGGUCAUCCCGACUUACCAACCCUUUGCAAACUCCGAAUACCAGUAAGUACUAUCCGGGAGACACACGGCGGGUGCUAACGUCCGUCGUGGAGAGGGAAACAACCCAGACCGCCAGCUAAGGUCCCAAAUUACUACUAAGUGGGAAACGAUGUGGGAAGGCUCAGACAGCCAGGAUGUUGGCUUAGAAGCAGCCAUCAUUUAAAGAAAGCGUAAUAGCUCACUGGUCGAGUCGGCCUGCGCGGAAGAUGUAACGGGGCUAAGUAGUAAACCGAAGCUGCGGCAAUGUGCUUUUGCACAUUGGGUAGGGGAGCGUUCUGUAAGCGGUUGAAGGUGUGUGGUAACGCAUGCUGGACGUAUCAGAAGUGCGAAUGCUGACAUGAGUAACGAUAAAGGGGGUGAAAAACCUCCUCGCCGGAAGACCAAGGGUUCCUGUCCAACGUUAAUCGGGGCAGGGUAAGUCGACCCCUAAGGCGAGGCCGAAAGGCGUAGUCGAUGGGAAACGGGUUAAUAUUCCCGUACUUCUUACAAUUGCGAUGGGGGGACGGAGAAGGCUAGGUGGGCCUGGCGACGGUUGUCCAGGUUCAAGUGCGUAGGCUUAAGAGUUAGGUAAAUCCGGCUCUUUUUAAGGCUGAGACACGACGUCGAGCACCUACGGGUGUGAAGUCAUUGAUGCCAUGCUUCCAGGAAAAGCCUCUAAGCUUCAGAUUGUAAGGAAUCGUACCCCAAACCGACACAGGUGGUCGGGUAGAGAAUACCAAGGCGCUUGAGAGAACUCGGGUGAAGGAACUAGGCAAAAUGGUACCGUAACUUCGGGAGAAGGUACGCUCUCGACGGUGAAGUCCCUCGCGGAUGGAGCUAUUGAGAGUCGCAGAUACCAGGUGGCUGCAACUGUUUAUUAAAAACACAGCACUGUGCAAAAUCGUAAGAUGACGUAUACGGUGUGACGCCUGCCCGGUGCCGGAAGGUUAAUUGAUGGGGUUAGACUUCGGUCGAAGCUCUUGAUCGAAGCCCCGGUAAACGGCGGCCGUAACUAUAACGGUCCUAAGGUAGCGAAAUUCCUUGUCGGGUAAGUUCCGACCUGCACGAAUGGCGUAAUGAUGGCCACGCUGUCUCCACCCGAGACUCAGUGAAAUUGAAAUCGCUGUGAAGAUGCAGUGUACCCGCGGCUAGACGGAAAGACCCCGUGAACCUUUACUACAGCUUGGCACUGAACAUUGACCCUACAUGUGUAGGAUAGGUGGGAGGCUUUGAAGCACGUACGCCAGUAUGUGUGGAGCCGUCCUUGAAAUACCACCCUUGUAGUGUUGAUGUUCUAACGUUGACCCCUUAUCGGGGUUGCGGACAGUGCCUGGUGGGUAGUUUGACUGGGGCGGUCUCCUCCCAAAGAGUAACGGAGGAGCACGAAGGUGGGCUAAUCACGGUUGGACAUCGUGAGGUUAGUGCAAUGGCAUAAGCCCGCUUGACUGCGAGAAUGACAAUUCGAGCAGGUGCGAAAGCAGGUCAUAGUGAUCCGGUGGUUCUGAAUGGAAGGGCCAUCGCUCAACGGAUAAAAGGUACUCCGGGGAUAACAGGCUGAUACCGCCCAAGAGUUCAUAUCGACGGCGGUGUUUGGCACCUCGAUGUCGGCUCAUCACAUCCUGGGGCUGAAGUCGGUCCCAAGGGUAUGGCUGUUCGCCAUUUAAAGUGGUACGCGAGCUGGGUUUAGAACGUCGUGAGACAGUUCGGUCCCUAUCUGCCGUGGGCGUUGGAAGAUUGAAGGGGGCUGCUCCUAGUACGAGAGGACCGGAGUGGACGAACCUCUGGUGUUCGGGUUGUGUCGCCAGACGCAUUGCCCGGUAGCUAAGUUCGGAAUCGAUAACCGCUGAAAGCAUCUAAGCGGGAAGCGAGCCCUGAGAUGAGUCUUCCCUGAUACUUUAAGUAUCCUAAAGGGUUGUCGGAGACUACGACGUUGAUAGGUCAGGUGUGUAAGUGCUGUGAGGCAUUGAGCUAACUGAUACUAAUUGCCCGUGAGGCUUAACCAU
rnacentral:rRNA from 1 species